AUGGAACGCGCUGAUGACGUAUUAUUUCUGCGUGAACAGGGUGUGCAGAGCUACGUUGACAGGCAGAAUCCGCUCUCCUGCACUUUUUCCCGGCACUUCAAUCACUCGCUCCUUUCCCUUUCUUUGUUGCACUGCUUGUGGGACAUUGAUAUUACAUGGGUUAUUUCUGGAAUGGAUGGGGGCUGAGGUUCACCUUUGAGAGUUGUAUUUCCGCCAUACCGGAGAGGGCACAUGGAUCCAUUCCUCCUUUGUGACAGGUGGCUAUUUCAAGAGCAGAUCACAUGACAUGACAAUAGGCACGCAUGCACAUCCCUGCUGACACCAACCCCCUUCUGCUCUCUGUGUACUAACAGCCAGACUGGAGCCAAACUACAUGCACGAGUAUGUUCAAACUUUAAACAGAACCAGAAGUGUAAGACGCGCAGGCCCAGCUGCUCGGCCCGUGCUAUUAUUGCUGUGUUAAAUGCACCGAGUGAUUUCCACCCUCCACGUACAUGCGAUCGAGAGAGAUGCAUGAGUCACAUUAACUCUCAGAGCUCCUCACAUUACCAGCAGCCCAUUGCUUUAUGAGCUAAUCUAAUGUAGCUGCAUCUGUUGGUUACACCUGCUGUGUGCAUGUGUGUGCAACUCCAUGUGUUUUCCAUAUUCUUUGUUUUCUGUUCUUCUCAGUUCACAGGGAAACAGUUUAGGGCCCGCUACGGUUAGAGAGAUGGGCGAAAGUAAACAACCGAAAUCUCUGGCACACUCGGCAUGACUUGAACUGUCCGUGUCAGAUCAUGUGAAGCACUGCACUUCAUCCUUGCACCAAGAUGUGAGCCCCGUGAAGUCCUUGUAUCAACCAAAAACAAGCACAGCUGCUUGAGCCAGGCUUUACUCCCGCACACUAGCAUGGGUUUGUUACACCUGCAAAUGGUUAAAGAUCAUGUGAGGUCUGUUAUGCGCUUCAUCAUCCAUGUGUACAUUUUAAACAAACUAUGCAGGAUUUAACCUUUACAUGCUGUUGUGAUAACAAGUGAGAGUGGAGGGGGAGUGGCCAGAGGGCGUGGCCACAGAGCCUCAGCACGAGGACUCUACGCUCUUGUUUUGAAUUCCUCUGAUCCAACUGUCCAAAUAACCUGGAAAGUUAGUCACGUGGUAGGAAAAGUACAGCUGUGGGCCAGAGAAAAUAUAGAAUUUCAUGUUUCAUAAAGAUCUGACUGCCUAAAAAAAAACCUGGUGACACUUUACAAGUAGGGUUUGUUAACAUUUGUUAAUGAUUUAAGUAUCAUGAACUAACAAUAAACAAUGACUUUUUUGUGACA
ensembl:lncRNA